AUAUCUACUGCUUUAAAUAAGAAUAAUUUAUGAAAAAGAAAUUUAGUGCUUUAAUUAUUUCUUAUUUAACUCAACUGAUUUGAGUAAAAGAAGAAACUGUAAUUUCAUUUGUAUAUGUAUUUAUAUAGCAAACUUUACCUAAAUAUAAAAUAAAACUUGCUUUUAUUCAUAAUUAUAAAAUAAUUAUAUGAAAAUCUUAAUUAUGAGUUUAAGGAUGCUACAAAUGAA
rnacentral:lncRNA from 1 species